GACGAACGCUGGCGGCGUGCUUAACACAUGCAAGUCGAACGGAAAGGCCCCUUUGGGGGUACUCGAGUGGCGAACGGGUGAGUAACACGUGAGUAACCUGCCCUUGACUUCGGGAUAACUUCAGGAAACUGGGGCUAAUACCGGAUAGGAAUCCUUGCUGCAUGGUGGGGGUUGGAAAGCUUCGGCGGUUUUGGAUGGACUCGCGGCUUAUCAGCUUGUUGGUGGGGUAGUGGCUUACCAAGGCUUUGACGGGUAGCUGGCCUGAGAGGGCGACCGGCCACAUUGGGACUGAGAGACGGCCCAGACUCCGACGGGAGGCAGCAGGGGGGAAUAUUGCACAAUGGGCGGCAGCCUGAUGCAGCAACGCCGCGGGCGGGAUGACGGCCUUCGGGUUGUAAACCGCUUUCAGCAGGGGCGAAGCUUGUGGUGACGGUACCUGCAGAAGAAGCACCGGCUAACUACGUG
rnacentral:rRNA from 1 species